CGGUUGAUCCUGCCGGACCCCACUGCUAUCGGGAUAGGACUAAGACAUGCUAGUCAGGCGCUCUCCAACCAAUGUUGGGAGUGCGGCGCACAGCUCAGUAACACGUGGCUAACCUGCCCUUGGGACGGGGACACCCCCGGGAAACUGGGGUUAAUCCCCGAUAGGUGAAGACCUCUGGAAUGAGUCUUCGCCCAAAAGGCGCCUACACUAUGCUUGUAGGCGCCGCCCAAGGAUGGGGCCGCGUCCGAUCAGGUUGUUGGUGAGGUAAUGGCUCACCAAGCCUUUUACCGGUGCGGGCCGUGGGAGCGGGAGCCCGGAGAUGGGCACUGAGACAAGGGCCCAGGCCCUACGGGGCGCAGCAGUCGCGAAAACUUUGCAAUACACGAAAGUGUGACAGGGCUAUCCCGAGUGCCAUCCGCUGAGGAAGGCUUUUACCCAGUGUAGAAAGCUGGGAGAAUAAGGAGAGGGCAAGACUGGUGUCAGCCGCCGCGGUAAUACCAGCUCUCCGAGUGGUGUGGAUGUUUAUUGGGCCUAAAGCAUCCGUAGCUGGCUGAGCAAGUCCCCUGUUAAAUCCACCGAUUCAAUCGUUGGUGUGCGGGGGAUACUGUUCGGCUAGGGGACGGGAGAGGCCGACGGUAUUUCCGGGGUAGGGGUGAAAUCCUAUAAUCCCGGGAAGACCACCAGUGGCGAAGGCUGUCGGCUAGAACGCGCCCAACGGUGAGGGAUGAAAGCUGGGGGAGCGAACCGGAUUAGAUACCCGGGUAGUCCCAGCUGUAAACGAUGCAGGCUAGGUGUUUGGGCGGCCACGUGCCGCUCUAGUGCCGCAAGGAAGUUGUUAAGCCUGCCGCCUGGGGAGUACGGCCGCAAGGCUGAAACUUAAAGGAAUUGGCGGGGGAGCAC
rnacentral:rRNA from 1 species